rfam:Schistosoma rodhaini strain Burundi genome assembly, scaffold: SROB_scaffold0022123
AUCCAGCUGACGAGUCCCAAAUAGGACGAAAACGAGCGUCCUGGAU